rnacentral:rRNA from 1 species
UACGAAGGGUGCAGGCGUUACUCGGAAUUACUGGGCGUAAAGCGUGCGUAGGCGGUUUGUUAAGUCUGAUGUGAAAGCCCUGGGCUCAACCUGGGAAUGGCAUUGGAUACUGGCAGUCUAGAGUGCGGUAGAGGGUAGCGGAAUUCCCGGUGUAGCAGUGAAAUGCGUAGAUAUCGGGAGGAACAUCCGUGGCGAAGGCGGCUACCUGGACCAGCACUGACACUGAGGCACGAAAGCGUGGGGAGCAAACAGG